rnacentral:rRNA from 1 species
AGAGAGCGACGGGCGAUGUGUACACACCUCAGAGCCAACUUCAAUAAAGAAUUUUAUUCUAAAUUUACUACUAAAUCCACCUUAAUAAUAUGUAUACAUAUACUAAUCCGUAUAAUUAUAAUUUAUUGUAACCCACUUCUCCCAUAUUUAUAAGCUGCACCUUGACCUGAAGUCAUAAAUUUAAAAUUAACUAGAUUAUAUUUUCUAAAAAUAAUCUGACAACGGCGGUAUACAAACUGAAUACAAAAAUAUGUACAUUUAAACGUGGAAUAUCGAUCCAAGAGCAGGUUCCUCUAGUAAGAAUGAAGUACCGCCAAAUUCUUUAGGUUUAAAAAUCUCUACUACCCUGGCAACAAAUUUAAUAGGGAAUAAUAGGGUAUCUAAUCCUAGUUUAAACCCCUAUCUACAAAGUUAAUAAAUUUACUAAAAAUUUUUAAUUUAAAAAAAGAAAGAUUUUACCCCUAAUUUUUCAUCAAAAAAAUCCCUUUAAAAUUAAUAUUUACUUAAUUCCACCAAUCUGUUUCAUUUAAAUCCUUCGUAUAACC